CAAAAGAACUUCUGAUGGUUCGCUCUCACCUACAGAACAAAGCCCAGCUUUCAAGGUAUUUGAACAUUCAGCCCCUAACCCACCCUUCCAGGCUUCUCCUGCACCCUACAAACCAGCCACAUAGAACCCCUUUCUUGUGCCUAGUAGAAGUGGUCAUCAUUGGUCAUCUCUUUGCUUUGGUCAUGAGGUCCCUUCAGUUUACAUUGUCUUUCCCAUUUUCUCCCAAACAUCUAUCAAGCUUGUCCAACCUCCAGCCCAGGGACCACAUGCAGCCAA
rnacentral:lncRNA from 1 species